AUUGAACGCUGGCGGCACGCCUAACACAUGCAAGUCGAGCGGCAGCGCGAUAUGUAGCAAUACAUAUUGGCGGCGAGCGGCGGACGGGUGAGGAACACGUAGGAACCUACCCUCGAGUGGGGGAUAACCAAGGGAAACUUUGGCUAAUACCGCAUGAUUUCGAGAGAGCAAAGCUGCCGCAAGGUGGCGCUCGAGGAGGGGCCUGCGUCCGAUUAGCUAGUUGGUGAGGUAAGAGCUCACCAAGGCGAUGAUCGGUAACUGGUCUGAGAGGACGACCAGUCACACUGGGACUGAGACACGGCCCAGACUCCUACGGGAGGCAGCAGUGGGGAAUAUUGGACAAUGGGGGUAACCCUGAGCCAGCGAUGCCGCGUGAGUGAAGAAGGCCUUCGGGUCGUAAAGCUCUUUAGGUUGGGAAGAAGAGUGAUGGAGGAAAUGCUAUCACUUUGACGGUACCGACAGAAUAAGCACCGGCAAACUCUGUGCCAGCAGCCGCAGUAAUAC
rnacentral:rRNA from 1 species